rnacentral:lncRNA from 1 species
GACAAAAUUGAUUUGUAACUACUAAACCCUCAUCAAUGUGAAUUGAUUUGUUCCAAAUAACCGCAACUCCUUUCAACGUGAAUGAAAUAUCUUGCAUUGUUUCUUCUCAAUCAACACUUCAAACUUAUUAUCCUUUUGAUCAAUAAAUGUGAGAUAGCAAUUAAUGUGCGACCCAAAGUCACCUCAAAUAUUAGAGGGCAGCCAUUGAAA